rnacentral:lncRNA from 1 species
GGUUAUUCCUUAGAUUGUUAUUUUAUGGUGUAUUUUCGGGUACAAGAAUCUGUAUUUAGACACAAGAACUUCAACACUAGUUCAAGUUUAAAACAAGAACACUAUGAAGUACAAAAACAUCCUCAACACAAGAUCAAAGUGAUCUUUCUAAGAAGUAUGUUUUAUUUUUUCAGAAAUUAAGACGAAACAGAAAUAUAAAGCCAAGUCCCCUAACUUCACGGAGUGUCCUUAAGGAAUAAUUCCCCUCACUGUACCCGAGGUUUUGGAAUCUUCCUCCCAGGAUAAAAUGACUUUCAAUCCAACUAUAGUGGUACCUCAAAUAAUUGGAUUCUCUAACUCACUCAAUGAUUUGAUUGAUCACAAAGAAUGUUUUGAAGACAAGAAGAGUUUUUAUUUCAGAAAUUUUUUCAUUCAUUUCUAAACCUGUGGAUGAAAGCAGGUUUAUAUAGCCAUCGGAUGCCUCUUCUGAAAGGUGGCAAUGGUUCACUUAAAAGGUGUAUCCUUUGGAAGAGUCAUAUUUGUUCAUUCGAAACAUUGUGUCUUUUUCUGAAUAGACACAACUAUUUGAACAGUCACACCUUUUCCAAAACAAUAUGUCUUUUGCUCAAAGGUUGUGUCCCUCCAUUUUCCAUUCUCACCAAUUAAACCCAACAGUGACAGUAAGAUCACUCUACCACAUACAAUAUCCUGUUACGUAUUCAAGUCCUCUUGAGAUUUCGGAAGAACUCUAUCCACCCAUCAAUGAAAAUUGUACUUCAAGAUGGUCAACAAAGCCUAGCGUAUUAGUUUAGAUAUGAAAAGAUUAAGCAGACAAUAUACAUAAACACAUAUUUUGAAAAGAAGCUGAUAAUGCGUUAAGGAACUUCAAACUUCAGAACAAGAUUUCCAAAUUUCAAUGUAAGGUACGAAGUGUUGAUUUUCUUGGUGAUUCAAUAUUUGAUGUUGCUACUUUUCUCAAUUUCCCCUUCUUGACCCAUACAUAAUAUCAGCCAGCUAGUAAAAGAAUAAUCAUUGUCAUUUUAUGUAUGUUAAAAAUGCAUUGUGGAUGUGUGAACUCUAAUUCUGUUCACAUCUAUACUUUAUUCGAUCCAAUCUUUCAUUUUACGGCCACAACUUUAAUUAUGCGAUCCCAUCC